UUUAGCUUCUGGCGUCUCACGGUCUCACAUCAUGCACGGUCUAGCAAAUGAAGAGAUGGCAUCGAACUAGACAACGUCGCACGAUAUGUGGGCAAGGCACGCGGACGACGCUGCUUGAACAGUUGUGAUUCUCCAAGCUUUCGCUGCGCUACAAAUUCGUAUGCGUACGCCCAUUGUCCACCAGCAUCCCAAGGAACAGGACACGACACGCUCUUCGUAGCCAUGCUGGACUGCGUAAUACCACGCAUGCACCCUCAGCUGCAUUAGGUGGUGCUCCUAAAAUUUCUACUGUGCGACAUAUUCUGGGAAGAAGUACACAAGACUCUACUCCCUCACGCAUGUACAAGCAGUACAACUCACCUGUAAAGAUGACUUGUAAGUUGUGACUGCUUCAUGAGUAAUGAUGCGUUGCUCGAUCAAUGCAACGUCUGCAAUACACUGAACUAUAUACUUCAGUUAUUAUACGGUGAUUUCACGCCAGAUCAUGCACGGUGGUGAAUUUUUUCUCUUUCAAACAUAUAUUACAACCUCGU